rnacentral:rRNA from 1 species
ACUCCUACGGGAGGCAGCAGUGGGGAAUUUUCCGCAAUGGGCGCAAGCCUGACGGAGCAAGACCGCGUGAGGGAGGAAGGCUCUUGGGUUGUAAACCUCUUUUAUCAGGGAAGAAGAUCUGACGGUACCUGAUGAAUCAGCAUCGGCUAACUCCGUGCCAGCAGCCGCGGUAAUACGGAGGAUGCAAGCGUUAUCCGGAUUUAUUGGGCGUAAAGCGUCCGCAGGUGGUUUUUCAAGUCUGCUGUUAAAGCGCAGAGCUUAACUCUGUAACGGCGGUGGAAACUGAGAGACUAGAGUAUGGUAGGGGUUGCGGGAAUUCCCAGUGUAGCGGUGAAAUGCGUAGAUAUUGGGAAGAACACCAGCGGCGAAAGCGCGCAACUGGGCCAUUACUGACACUCAUGGACGAAAGCUGGGGGAGCGAAAGGGAUUAGAUACCCCUGUAGUCCUAGCUGUAAACGAUGGGUACUAGGUGUUGACCGUAUCGACCCGGUCAGUGCCGUAGCUAACGCGUUAAGUACCCCGCCUGGGGAGUAUGCACGCAAGUGUGAAACUCAAAGGAAUUGACGGGGGCCCGCACAAGCGGUGGAGUAUGUGGUUUAAUUCGAUGCAACGCGAAGAACCUUACCAGGGCUUGACAUGUCGCGAAUCUCGGUGAAAGUCGAGAGUGCCUUCGGGAGCGCGAACACAGGUGGUGCAUGGCUGUCGUCAGCUCGUGUCGUGAGAUGUUGGGUUAAGUCCCGCAACGAGCGCAACCCUCGUUUUUAGUUGCCAGCAUUUAGUUGGGCACUCUAGAGAGACUGCCGGUGACAAACCGGAGGAAGGUGGGGAUGACGUCAAGUCAGCAUGCCCCUUACGUCCUGGGCUACACACGUACUACAAUGCUUCGGACAAAGGGUUGCGAGCUAGCGAUAGCAAGCUAAUCCCGUAAACCGAGGCUCAGUUCAGAUUGCAGGCUGCAACUCGCCUGCAUGAAGGAGGAAUCGCUA